rnacentral:snRNA from 1 species
CCGAAGGGUUUCACUUCAUAACGCAUAAAUCUUUUGCCUUUUGCUAAAUAUUUCCGAGGGACAUACUCAAAUGCCGCACAAAAUUACUAGGUACUUAAAAAUUUAUUAACUA